CGAUUUUUCCCCUUAGCAUCUAAGGCACAUGCAUGCUCAUUUGUUUGGCUCAACUUCACCUAUCUUCCAUUUUUCAUCAAAAGAACAUGAAACAACAACCAUUUCCUUCAUUUUAAUUCAUGACUAAAUGCUCACAACACAACUAAAACCCAAAAUAUGCUUCAAGAGUUAAGGUAGAAUCAAGAAGAACUCAUGAACAUCAAGAUAGAAGCAAACUACCAUGAACUUACCUUCAAUUUUCUUCCCCAAGUGACUGAACAUUCAAGAGCUUUCUC
rnacentral:lncRNA from 1 species